GCUCUCGUGGCCAAGUUGGCUAAGGCGCUCCCCUAGUAUUCACGCUUCAGGGAGAGAUCGCCGGUUCGAAUCCGGUCGAGAGCA